GCGGUGCGGCGGCGCGAGCCCUGGGCGGCCGGCGCACGCGCGGUGCGGCGGCGGGCAAGAUGGCGGCGAGCAGGGCGGGUGUUUUGGCUGGACGGCGGCGGGCGAGGGCAGAGGCGGGCUGGAGUCGAGCAUGUGGGGGCCGCGGUGAGGCGAGGGCCCCGGUUCCUCCCCAGCGCGGGCCGGGGCGUGCGCUCGCCCCUGCGGACGCAGCCUGGAGGAGUGUGUGUGGGGUGCCUGCGCGGGGGUCUGGAUGUCUCUAGCAGCGGCACGGCAGCCUGAUGCCUCCUCUCGUCUGGGACGCGGGGUCCUUGGGGAGUUCCCUGCUGCCUCCUCUGGCGUUCUCUGCGAGCUCAUAGAUCCCUCCACCUCCUCUCCCCCCCCCCCCCCCGCCCCGCUCCCCUGUCUGGUGGGGUGGGAGACCGGUGGCUGCUCCCGCCGAGCUGAGAGCCACGUAGGGCACCCCAUGUGCUCACUACGCAUCUGGGAUGGCACCCCUGCCCUGAGGGCCCCGCAGAGUCCCACCCUUCCUGCAACCAGCCCCCCCAGAGCCAUUAAACCACCCACAAAUCCUGCCCCAACACCCCCACAGGCCCCAAAACGCCUCCGAGCCCUGCCGCAAUGUUGUCACUGACUCCAGACCUUCCCCUGCACUCUGUGCAAGGCCCCAAACAUUCCUCAAACUGCUGCCAGACCCAGUGCCCGCAGCAGUGAGGCGUUCUAACAAAGAUGGGGUGCGAUGUGCGUCUCCGCCUCGACUCAGUCCCGCUUUAGAGAAACAGGAAGUUACAGCACUUCCUGGUGAAGAGUGUUGACGGGUGAAUGUGCGGAUGACAAAGAGACUUUUCUCUCUUUUCUUCUGAGCCGCCUCUCAGAAGCCUCUGUGUGUGCACGAUGUGGCUGAUCUGGGAUAAUCGUGCUGUGCGCAGUGCUUAAGGAGAACAUUGCCCUAAAAUGGAGGGCUAAGGAAUAGCCUAAAAAACCUAAAAGGCUCGGGAAGAGCAAAAGAGAACACCGAUGGGCUCUGGGAAGCCCCAGUGAUGCUAGCGAAAACAGCGUGGCUUUUAGGCACCUCCUCAGAGCAGCAGCAAUGUCUCGCUCCAGCCUAUGGGACAAUGGGGACUCUUAAUUACCGCCUUGAAUUACCACAAGUGUUGCAAAAGCAGAAGGGACUAGGGAGCAUGCAGAGCAGGUUAUGGACUAUAUGUCAAGUUUAAACAAGCAACAAGCCCCUCUGCAAACAGAAACAGGUUUAGCCCUAAGUAAUAGAGGAAGGUAGCUGUGAGUAACGUGAAGCGAAGCGGUGACGUCAGUCACCCCGAAAGCCUCGGAGAAGCGGUCUGAAAAUCUGGUACCCUCGCGACCUCGGCAGUCUUUUUGGUUUGUUUGGCAGGGUAGCCCACCGAAGGGGGACAUCUCGAAGAGAAGCAGCAAGACCUGGGGAUCCGGUGGUUCAUUUUGGUCGUCGCCUGUGAGGCCAGCAUGCAAGAGUAAGAGGAAGCUAGGAGCAGUCUCAAAAAGAGAUGGAACCGAGGACAGCAAAUGCUGACGAGGAGAAGAGACGGACGAGCGUUUGCUUGCGGUUAAUACCGAAGGGACGGGAUGAAACAAGGAAGCCAGAAUGCAGCGGCCCCUCGAUAUCACCAGGAACUGCUACAGGAGGAGGCGUUCUGGCACGGGUAACUAGGGUAAGUAUCGCUAAUGACCGUUAGCAGUUAUUUCGGCCUCCCCGAGGCAGCGCUGAGGACUAAGUAACCUGAGGGGCUCUGGCCUGGGUUAGGGCAGAAGUGCAGGCAGGCGGGAUCAGGCAUUUUCCUCUCAGCUCUCCAAGCUGAAUCCUAGCCCUGAAGGAAAAAGCACUGGGGGGAGGCUACUCGGACACCUGCCACGUCGAGGGCAGGGGCAGGAGCUGACCCUUCCCCGACGGACGGACGGACGGACAGACGCUGGUGCGGCGGUGACUCUUUGGAUAUCGUAGGUAAGGGGAGGCACGCUGGUGCCGAGCUCCAGGGCGGUUUGCCUGAACACGAUGCCCGGGGCAGGAGGUUACGCAUUGUGUCCGGGGCUGGGAGCUGGUCCCCGAGUCCCAUGUACUUGGGAGUGCCUGCGCUUGCCAGGGAGCCCGGUGCUGUUCCCAGAGCUGCGGGGAAUUUCCCUUGCGUUGCCUGGACCCUCGGGGCUCUUGGGGGUGUUUCCCCUCAUCGCAAGGGCAGCCAGAGCCCCUCCAGGGCUGCGUGAGGUCCCCGAACCGCUCCCGGAUUUGCUUUUGGCACUCCGCAGUGUCGCUCGUGUGCCUGGGGCAGCCUGCAGGCGCCAUCCUGUCAGCCGCGUUGAGCCCUGCGGCGUGCCUGGUGACCCCUCUGGUGUGCGCCAAGGCCCUUCCUCUGUAUUUUGGUCUGCCCCAGAGCCCUGCACUUGCCCUCUGAUGCCCUCAGGACCCCUCAGUUCACAUUCUGGGUUGCCCCCGAGCCCUCUGCGUGCCUUUCGGUGCGCCCCGUGGCCCCGUGUGUGUUUUGCGGCACGCCGCAGAGGUCUCUGUUUAGCUUUUUCUCCUGUCCUGGAGUUUUCUGGGUGCUUCUGGGUGUGCCCCAGGGCCCUCCUUUUGGUGCCCCCAGAGUCACUCUGUUUGCUCUAUCGUUGUUCUUUUUUUUUUUUUUUUUUUUUUUUUUUUUUUUUUCUUGACUUGUGUUGCACCCAGAGCUCUCGAUUUGUUCUCUUGUGCUCCGCAUACUCCCCUUUCCGCACUCUACACCCCAGGCAGGGCUCUCCCUUCAGCUCUCAGCAAGCUGCUGUCAGGAGAGUGGGGGUGCCUCUGCUGCCCUGGCAGCCCCAGCUGUCCCUGAAGGGGCUGAUGGCCAGGCCCCCUGCCCAGUUCCUGCAGGCCCACAGCUGCGGGCCCUGGGGCUGGGAUGAAUGCCAGGGGGAGCUGGGUGGCAGGACAGGCCCCAGGUGGGGCUGAUGGCAAGGGCAGGCCCACAUUUGGGGGCUGGGGCCGCAGUUGGGGGGAGCUGGCGCUGGGGCAGGAGCUGGGCAGCGGAGCUGCCACGGAGCACGGCCCUUCGGGACCAGCCC